AAGGGAGUAGUUAGCAGUUGAGGUUCUAUAACAAACCGGCUGCAUUUAUGUCUACAAACUUUUACAGGGCCUUUUAAAACGUUCUCACCGAAUCACUCAAGAUUUUAUCAGUACGAAGCAUGUCAUCCACACCAAUAUCCUCAGAGCCUCCUCAUGAAUAAUGUGACUAACAAGCGUCAUGUGUGGCCGCCUGGCACCCUGGGAGCUUCAUCAGCCUGACUCCUCAGGCUGUCAGUUGUAUGGGGCAUUGGUGAACCUGUGGUGGCUAUUCAAGGGAGGGAAACAUCUUAUGAGACAGGAGGAGCAUUAAAAUGAAAAACAUCCCUCAGUGUCUGGACAAGCCACACUCUUGCCCUGGACCACUUGCCCAUCUCUAGACUGUUACCUGAGAGAAAAGUAGAUUCCUUUCUUAUUUGAACCGUCUUAUUGUGAAGUCUUUUUUUGUUACAGCAGCAUCACGGAUACUUGGCCCUGAGUAACACAUUUCUUCAGCAAAAGAGAGGACGCUACGAGCGCACUCCCCUCUAGUUAGGUCCUACAUAUGGUGGAGUUUUGCUUUCUGUAAAUCAUGUGUUAAGAGACAUAAAGACAAAGCAGAGGUUUUCAGAUGAGAACAACAAGAGGGGUGAGGGGUUCCAAAUGGAAGAAACUGAAAAAGUGUUCUCAGAGUACGAGUGCUGUUUCCAAAUGUCUGAAGAUCUGGUAUGUGGAAGAAUGAUUCACCUCAUUCUGUGUGGUUUUCGUGGAUGGAAGUAGGACUGAAGGUGAAAACAGAUUUUGCUUAAGACAAGGAAUUUUUCUGGGGGCACCUGGGCAG
rnacentral:lncRNA from 1 species